rnacentral:piRNA from 1 species
UGAGCAGGAUGUGAGGGUGGUGGACGGGAG